rnacentral:tRNA from 1 species
GAGGCCGAAGCUUAACUGCUAUUGGAAUCAUCUGCAAGCGUAUUAACGCAAAAGCGAUGCUGUGGGUUCAAAUCCCGCCGGCCUCA